GUUAAACGCUGGCGGCGUGCCUAACACAUGCAAGUCGAACGGUUCUAAGCGCGAGCUUAGGAUAGUGGCGAACGGGUGAGUAAAAGGUAGGAAUCUACCCCUUGGACGGAGAUAGCUACUGGAAACGGUAGGUAAACUUCGAUAAGCCCGAGAGGGGAAAGUGGUGAGACAGCCGAGGGAUGAGCCUACUCUCCAUCAGGUAGUUGGUGAGAUAAAAGCUUACCAAGCCGAUGACGGAUAACCGGUGUGAGAGCAUGAACGGUCACAAGGGCACUGAGAGACGGGCCCUACUCCUACGGGAGGCAGCAGUGGGGAAUCUUGGACAAUGGGCGAAAGCCUGAUCCAGCGACGCCGCGUGGAGGAAGAAGUCCUUCGGGAUGUAAACUUCUGAACUAGCCGAAUAAAAGGCCCGUGGACACACAGGAGAAGAAAGUAGGCUAGGAAAGUACCCGGCUAACUACGUG
rnacentral:rRNA from 1 species